GGAUGGCUGGCGCGAAACAGACGUUCCGAAGCUUUGCGAGAUCCCGAAGCAAAGAUGAUUCGAAACACUGAUCCGAAGCGUGAUUCAAAACACCCACGUCACGUGACAACGGCUAAAUGAAGCGUCUAAGUGUUUCAUCAGCUCGCCUACUGCAACAAUACAUCAUCCAUGAUGCGCCAUUUGAGGAGCAUUCAUCCUGCCAUUCUGCAGGGUGCAGAGGAUGGUAGUGUUCCCCCUGUACCAAGGCCUGCUACUGACACUGCUGGGCCAUCUAAGCAAGGCAGACAGAGGGAAUUGGAUGAGGCUCUUCUGAACAUGGUGGUGAAGGAUCUGCAGCCCUUCACCAUCGUGGAGGAUGAGGGUUUCAGGGCCUUUGUGAACAAGCUUGAUCCAAGCUAUGUCCUCCCAUCCCGGAAGGUGCUUAA